rnacentral:rRNA from 1 species
GACGAACCGUGCAAACGUUGUUCGGAAUCACUGGGCUUAAAGGGCGCGUAGGCGGGCAGCCAAGUCUGUGGUGAAAUCUUUCGGCUUAACCGGAAAACUGCCGUGGAUACUGGCUGUCUUGAGGGAGGUAGGGGCUCGUGGAACUUCCGGUGGAGCGGUGAAAUGCGUUGAUAUCGGAAGGAACGCCGGUGGCGAAAGCGGCGGGCUGGAUCUCUUCUGACGCUGAGGCGCGAAAGCUAGGGGAGCAAACGGG